rnacentral:rRNA from 1 species
GACAGAGGGUGCAAACGUUGUUCGGAAUUACUGGGCGUAAAGCGUGUGUAGGCGGCCUCGCAAGUCGGAUGUGAAAGCCCCGGGCUCAACCCGGGAAGUGCACCCGAUACUGCGUGGCUUGAGUCUCGGAGAGGUUGGUGGAAUUCUCGGUGUAGAGGUGAAAUUCGUAGAUAUCGAGAGGAACACCGGUGGCGAAGGCGGCCAACUGGACAUCAACUGACGCUGAGGCGCGAAAGCGUGGGUAGCAAACAGG